rnacentral:rRNA from 1 species
UUGACCUCGGAUCAGGUAGGGAUACCCGCUGAACUUAAGCAUAUCAAUAAGCGGAGGAAAAGAAACCAACAGGGAUUGCCUCAGUAACGGCGAGUGAAGCGGCAACAGCUCAAAUUUGAAAUCUGGCUCCUUUGGGGGUCCGAGUUGUAAUUUGUAGAGGAUGCUUCGGGCAAGGCCGUGGUCUAAUUCGCUUGGAACAGCGAGUCACAGAGGGUGAGAAUCCCGUCUAGGAUCGUACGCCGCGUCCAUGUGAAGCUCCUUCGACGAGUCGAGUUGUUUGGGAAUGCAGCUCUAAGCGGGUGGUAAAUUUCAUCUAAAGCUAAAUAUUGGCCAGAGACCGAUAGCGCACAAGUAGAGUGAUCGAAAGAUGAAAAGCACUUUGAAAAGAGAGUUAAACAGUAUGUGAAAUUGUUGAAAGGGAAGCGCUUGCAAUCAGACUUGUGUCUGACGGUUCCCCUGGCCCUCGUGGCCGGGCUACUCCGUCAUGUCCAGGCCAACAUCGGUUUGGGUGGUCGGUCAAAGACCCCGAGAAUGUAUCUACCUUCGGGUCGACUUAUAGCCCGGGGUGGAAUGCGGCCCACCCGGACCGAGGAACGCGCUUCG